rnacentral:rRNA from 1 species
UUACCGAGUUUACAACUCCCAAACCCCUGUGAACAUACCACUUGUUGCCUCGGCGGAUCAGCCCGCUCCCGGUAAAACGGGACGGCCCGCCAGAGGACCCCUAAACUCUGUUUCUAUAUGUAACUUCUGAGUAAAACCAUAAAUAAAUCAAAACUUUCAACAACGGAUCUCUUGGUUCUGGCAUCGAUGAAGAACGCAGCAAAAUGCGAUAAGUAAUGUGAAUUGCAGAAUUCAGUGAAUCAUCGAAUCUUUGAACGCACAUUGCGCCCGCCAGUAUUCUGGCGGGCAUGCCUGUUCGAGCGUCAUUUCAACCCUCAAGCACAGCUUGGUGUUGGGACUCGCGUUAAUUCGCGUUCCCCAAAUUGAUUGGCGGUCACGUCGAGCUUCCAUAGCGUAGUAGUAAAACCCUCGUUACUGGUAAUCGUCGCGGCCACGCCGUUAAACCCCAACUUCUGAAUGUUGACCUCGGAUCAGGUAGGAAUACCCGCUGAACUUAAGCAUAUCAAUAAGCGGA